rnacentral:rRNA from 1 species
ACACUCCUACGGGAGGCAGCAGUGGGGAAUUUUGGACAAUGGGCGAAAGCCUGAUCCAGCAAUGCCGCGUGAGUGAAGAAGGCCUUCGGGUUGUAAAGCUCUUUUGUCAGGGAAGAAACGGUGAAAGCUAAUAUCUUUUGCUAAUGACGGUACCUGAAGAAUAAGCACCGGCUAACUACGUGCCAGCAGCCGCGGUAAUACGUAGGGUGCAAGCGUUAAUCGGAAUUACUGGGCGUAAAGCGUGCGCAGGCGGUUUUGUAAGUCUGAUGUGAAAUCCCCGGGCUCAACCUGGGAAUUGCAUUGGAGACUGCAAGGCUAGAAUCUGGCAGAGGGGGGUAGAAUUCCACGUGUAGCAGUGAAAUGCGUAGAUAUGUGGAGGAACACCGAUGGCGAAGGCAGCCCCCUGGGUCAAGAUUGACGCUCAUGCACGAAAGCGUGGGGAGCAAACAGGAUUAGAAACCCGGGUAGUCCCAUGA